rnacentral:lncRNA from 1 species
GACACGUUUUGAGAACGGUAUCUUUUGGGAAAGCUUGUAAAGAGUAAUGGUCCCUCCUCCACUCUCGCUUUCUCGCUCCAUAACCCUACCAAAAAAUCCUCUGUUCCAUCACAUCUGACUACCACUACUCACUAUUACUUGUUUUGGCUACCAUGCACCAAAACCUCCAGCGUAUAUUAGAGUCUCCCAGCACUAUAAUCAGGCAGACAUAACUUUCACGCUCUUAUGAUUGACGCUUGUCACUCUCUACCACCCCCAAUAUCUUAGCUUAUACAAAUUAGGCAACCGCAUACAUGUACACAUCUUUUUGAUGUAAUACAUGUGCACAUCUUA